rnacentral:rRNA from 1 species
UGGGGAAUAUUGCACAAUGGGCGCAAGCCUGAUGCAGCCAUGCCGCGUGUAUGAAGAAGGCCUUCGGGUUGUAAAGUACUUUCAGUCGGGAGGAAGGUGGUAAGGUUAAUAACCUUAUCAAUUGACGUUACCGACAGAAGAAGCACCGGCUAACUCCGUGCCAGCAGCCGCGGGAAUACGGAGGGUGCAAGCGUUAAUCGGAAUUACUGGGCGUAAAGCGCACGCAGGCGGUUGAUUGAGUCAGAUGUGAAAUCCCCGGGCUUAACCCGACAAUUGCAUCUGAUACUGGUCAGCUAUAGUCUUGUAGAGGGGGGUAGAAUUCCAUGUGUAUCGGUGAAAUGCAUAGAGAUGUGGAGGAAUACCGGUGGCGAAGGCGGCCCCCUGGCCAAAGACUGACUCUCAGGUGCGAAAGCGUGGGGAGCAAACAGG